rnacentral:rRNA from 1 species
AUUGAACGCUGGCGGCAGGCCUAACACAUGCAAGUCGAGCGGUAGCACAGAGAGCUUGCUCUCGGGUGACGAGCGGCGGACGGGUGAGUAAUGUCUGGGAAACUGCCUGAUAGAGGGGGAUAACUACUGGAAACGGUAGCUAAUACCGCAUAAUGUCGCAAGACCAAAGUGUGGGACCUUCGGGCCUCAUGCCAUCAGAUGUGCCCAGAUGGGAUUAGCUAGUAGGUGGGUAACGGCUCACCUAGGCGACGAUCCCUAGCUGGUCUGAGAGGAUGACCAGCCACACUGGAACUGAGACACGGUCCAGACUCCUACGGGAGGCAGCAGUGGGGAAUAUUGCACAAUGGGCGCAAGCCUGAUGCAGCCAUGCCGCGUGUGUGAAGAAGGCCUUCGGGUUGUAAAGCACUUUCAGCGGGGAGGAAGGCGUUAAGGUUAAUAACCUUGGCGAUUGACGUUACCCGCAGAAGAAGCACCGGCUAACUCCGUGCCAGCCGCCGCAGUAA